CUGUGAGGUGCUCGGUGAGGAAUGCAGUGUGGGUGAUGUCGGUGAGGUGCUCGGUGAGGAAUGCAAUGGGUGGUGAAGACUGAAGACUGGAGACUUGAGAUGAUGAUCAUCAGGGCUGGGCAGGGUUUGUGUGAGCGUUGGUGAUGAUCAAUUAGUUCCUUUGUGAAGUCAUGGAUGGUGUUGGACUAUUUUAUAUGGCAAUGGAGAAAAGCAUGUGUGGCGCUCACCAUUCCUUGGAAAAGUGAAAAGAUGGCCAUGGAAAGUUUCAGCCUGCAAAACUUUACAAGCUGAAGCAUCUUUCAAAAGUGGAGGUGAUUGCAAAUGAUCCUACUGGCUGCACCUUU